rnacentral:rRNA from 1 species
GAUCCUGGCUCAGGAUGAACGCCAGCUACAGGCUUAACACAUGCAAGUCGCGGGGUAACAUCUGGUAGAGCUUGCUCUUCCAGGAUGACGACCGGCGCACGGGUGAGUAACGCGUAUCCAACCUGGCCCAUACCACGGGAUAGCCCAUCGAAAGGCGGAUUAAUACCGUAUGCUGUCAUUAAGAUGCAUAUAUUGAUGACGAAAGGACUGGCGGUAUGGGAUGGGG